CCCUUCUUAUGAUUCACCCUUCAGGUCAGGUCUGUUAUUUUGUUGACAGCUUCCCUUUGGCUAGCCCUGGGACAAUGAGUUAAUGGCUUUUCUCUUCUACAGACUGGGAGUGGUGAUGGUAGAAUGGCUUCCUCUUAAAUUACACCCAGGCCCCUUGAACAGGUCUCAGGGGGACUCCUAUAGUAGUCAACACUCUGUAGAGCCCUGACUCUAGCCUGCCCCCAGGGUAAGAGACUAUAAAGCUUACAUCUAAAGGACUCCUAGUGCCAGGGAUACAACUUGAGGUAAGGCAGUUGGUGAGCUGACUCUAGCUCCGAGAAAGAGAAAAAGCACCAUCUACAGCCACAGGAACAGGACACCAGGAUCCUCUCUGAAGGUCAGACUCCACCAGCCCGCUAGCAGGGAGCAACAAAGGUGAAAGGUGACACUAAUUUAUGCAAUGCCUCUCAAAAGGAGAUUAUUAGGGAGGAGGCUGGGGUAUUUGCGACAGCUGGUCCAUGACAGCUCCCACACAGAGAGAGCUCCUCCCACCAAGAUAGGAGCUGCCAUCAGUCUGAGGAGGCCAGAGGCCAGAAGACCCUUGCCCUAGAGUCGAGGAAUUCUCGCUCUGACCUCCCCAGGGGAUCUGCAACUUAACAAUGAAAGAAGGGGAAUGGCUGGAGCCUGCUGUGCCUGUUUCCAGCCUCUGCUUGUGAACAUUCUGUGUGGAUGUAAGAAACCUCACCAACAGGUCAAAGCCUCGAGGUGAGACCA